CCUAGGAGUCAGUCACUCAGUCACCUUUCUUCCUUAUCCCCUGGUCAUCUAUCUAAUCACUUAAUGGAGCCUCUUCCAGUUCUGCCAGAGGCAAUACUAAUAACCAGUAGGAUCAGAGAGUCUCUGUUCUGGCUCACAGCUUUCUAAAACCCAAGCCAUGCUUGGACUCUUCUAUUAAAUUUGGAAAAAAAUAUCUGUAACACAUUUUUUCUUUUUUAAAAAAGUACACUAUAAGAUACAAAAAUAUUCUCAACAGAUUAUGGAAAUACAAAUCAAAUCCUCCCUGAUACGACUUCACACCCACUAGGAUGGCUAUAGAAUCAAAAAGAUGGACAAUAACAAGUGCUGGUGAGGACAUGGAGCAACUGGAACCUGGCACACGCAGGCCAUCUAAUCUUCCUGCAACUGCUGAGCAUUGUCAUAAACAUUUGUAUUCCCCUGACAUCCAGACAAGCAAGAGCCUUUCCCAAACACGGUGAGGUCCCUGUAGUUGACAGCCUAACUCGAGCAUUAAAAACAUUACUACUAGCAUUUAAUACUUCCAUGAUGAAAGUCACUCAGUGAUGGCAUUUGGGUGUCACAGAAAAUAUUUCUUGGGACAGUGGCACAGUCAGAAGCUGUCGGGAGUGUGGACAUACCUGU